rnacentral:rRNA from 1 species
GACGAACCGUGCGAACGUUGUUCGGAUUCACUGGGCUUAAAGGGCGCGUAGGCGGGCGAUCAAGUCAGGGGUGAAAGCCUCCAGCUCAACUGGAGAAGUGCCUUUGAUACUGGUCGUCUUGAGGGAGGUAGGGGCAUGUGGAACUUCCGGUGGAGCGGUGAAAUGCGUAGAUAUCGGAAGGAACGCCGGUGGCGAAAGCGACGUGCUGGACCUCUUCUGACGCUGAGGCGCGAAAGCUAGGGGAGCGAAC